rnacentral:rRNA from 1 species
UACGUAGGGGGCAAGCGUUGUCCGGAUUUAUUGGGCGUAAAGAGCGUGUAGGCGGCUUGGUAGGUCCGCUGUGAAAACUCGAGGCUCAACCUCGAGAUGUCGGCGGAAACCACUUGGCUAGAGUCCGGAAGAGGAGAGUGGAAUUCCGAGUGUAGAGGUGAAAUUCGUAGAUAUUCGGAGGAACACCAGUGGCGAAGGCGGCUCACUGGUCCAUUACUGACGCUGAGGUGCGAAAGCGUGGGGAGCAAACAGG